rnacentral:rRNA from 1 species
GACGAACGCUGGCGGCGUGCCUAAUACAUGCAAGUAGAACGCAGUUGCGAACGGGUGAGUAACGCGUAGGUAACUGCCUGGUAGCGGGGGAUAACGAUUGGAAACGAUAGUUAAUACCGCAUACUACCAGACGGACCUGCGUUGUAUUAGCUAGUUGGGUGGGUAAUGGCUCACCAAGGCAACGAUACAUAGCCGGCCUGGGUGGGUGGUCGGCCAAACUGGGACUUAGACACGGCCCAGACUCCUACGGGAGGCAGCAGUAGGGAAUCUUCGGCAAAGGACGGAAGUCUGACCGAGCAACGCCGCGGGAGUGAAGAAGGGUUUCGGAUCGUAAAGCUCUGUUGUAAGAGAAGCGGUAUCUUACCAGAAAGGGACGGCUAACUACGUGCCAGCAGCCGCGGUAAUAC